GGAGGUAGUGACAAUAAAUCACAAUGCGGGACUAUCAGUCUUGCAAUUGGAUUGAGAACAAUGUACAACUCUUAUCGAUAAGCCAUUGGAGGGCAAGUCUGGUGCCAGCAGCCGCGGUAAUUCCAGCUCCAAUAGCGUAUAUUAACGUUGUUGCAGUUAAAAAGCUCGUAGUUGAAGUGUGGGUGAUCGCUAUUGUGAGACUUCGGUCUCUCGAUAGUAAGUCACCCCCUUCCAGUAUCCAGUAGUGGGUAUUCACUUACUUACUAUUGUGUGUUGGUCCUUUACUGUGAGAAAAUUAGAGUGUUCAAAGCAGGCGUUUGCUUGAAUAGAUUAGCAUGGAAUAAUAAUUGAAGGCUUUCGUGUUCGAUUUGAUUGGUUUGUUCAUGGAAGCAAGGUUAAAAGGAACAGUUGGGGGUAUUCAUAUUCACUAGUUAGAGGUGAAAUUCUCGGAUUUAUGGAAGAUGAACAAGUGCGAAAGCA
rnacentral:rRNA from 1 species